rnacentral:rRNA from 1 species
GAUGAACGCUGGCGGCGUGCCUAAUACAUGCAAGUCGAGCGAACAGACGAGGAGCUUGCUCCUCUGACGUUAGCGGCGGACGGGUGAGUAACACGUGGAUAACCUACCUAUAAGACUGGGAUAACUUCGGGAAACCGGAGCUAAUACCGGAUAAUAUAUUGAACCGCAUGGUUCAAUAGUGAAAGACGGUUUUGCUGUCACUUAUAGAUGGAUCCGCGCCGCAUUAGCUAGUUGGUAAGGUAACGGCUUACCAAGGCAACGAUGCGUAGCCGACCUGAGAGGGUGAUCGGCCACACUGGAACUGAGACAGGGUCCAGACUCCUACGGGAGGCAGCAGUAGGGAAUCUUACGCAAUGGGCGAAAGCCUGACGGAGCAACGCCGCGUGAGUGAUGAAGGUCUUCGGAUCGUAAAACUCUGUUAUUAGGGAAGAACAAAUGUGUAAGUAACUAUGCACGUCUUGACGGUACCUAAUCAGAAAGCCACGGCUAACUACGUG